AUGACAACAGCUACAAAAAGCCUAGAGCGGCGGCGGCGGCAGCAGCAGGAAGUUGCAAUGCAAGGCAGCGAGGUGAAGCCCGGGAGGAGCCAAACGGGCUCGGUGCAGAAGCACCUCAACGUCGGCCUCGUCGUCGGCGGUCUCCUCAUGCUCCUCACCUAUCUCGCCGUCAGCCUCCCUCCUCAUGUUGUCAUUAGGGAAGUAGGACAGAUCAUGGAUCAUAACAUCAAAGCUCCCCAUGAAACAGAGAAUGGCAAGGUGGUGUGCAGCACGGCGGGGCGCUCCUAUGACCUAUCCGACACCUGCCAAGCGGACGGCGACGUCCGCACCAACGGCACAGCCCUGUCGGUGACCCUCGUCCCGGCGAGCGGGUCCGAGUUGGAGCGUCGGGAGUGGAUGAUCACGCCAUACUCGCGGAAGCUCGACGGCAUAAGGAAGGUCACCGUGACGCAGCUACAGGACGGGGCCGCCGCGGUGCCAUGCACGGUGACUCACGACGUGCCGGCCGUCCUCUUCGCGAUCGACGGGUACGCGGGCAACUACUGGCACGACUACAGCGAUAUCCUGGUUCCAUUGUUCAUCGCGUCGCGGCGGUACCACGGCGAGGUCAUGUUCCUCAUCACCAACAUCCGGCUCCAUCCGCAGUGGCCGGUCAAGUACAGGGCCUUCCUCCGGGGGCUGUCCAAGUACGACGCGGUGGACAUGGACGGCGACGCGCAGGUCCGGUGCUUCCCGCGCGUCACCGUGGGGCUCCGCCUCUACAAGGAGCUGAGCAUCGUCCCCGAGCUGGUGCCGGGGGGCCGCCUCUCCAUGGCCGACUUCACCCGGUUCCUACGCGAGACCUACGCGCUCCCACGCGCCGCCCCAGUCAGCCUGGCCCGAGACCAGGAGCCGCCGCACAAGAAGCCGCGGCUGCUGCUGAUCCACCGGGGCCACUACCGCCGGAUCCUGAACGAGCCGGAGAUCGCGCGGGCGGCAGUGGCCGCGGGGUUCGAGGCGGUGGUGGCGGAGCUGCGGGGCGACGCGCCCGAUGCGGAGCAGGCGCGGGUGGUGAACUCGUUCGACGUGGUGCUGGGCAUCCACGGCGCGGGGCUGACGAACGCGCUGUUCCUGCCGCCCGGCGGCGUGCUGAUCCAGGUGGUGCCGUACGGGAAGAUGGGGCUCAUCGCGAGCACCGCGUUCGGCUGGCCCGCCGCGGACAUGGGGCUCGGGUACUUCGACUACGACGUGAGCGUGGAGGAGACCUCGCUGCUGGAGGCGCUGGGGCCGGAGCACCCGGCGAUCAAGGACCCCGACUCCGUCCACCGCAGCGGCUGGCCCAAGGUCUUCGAGCUCUACCUCGCCAAGCAGGACGUCCGCAUCAACGCCACCCGCUUCGCGCCAACGCUGGCGCGAGCGCUCGACCACCUACGGCGCUCUCAUUAG
rnacentral:rRNA from 1 species